AGGUCACGUAAGUAGCAAAUGGCAGAGAUGGGAAUGAAACUCAGAUCCUCUGACUCCAAAUUCUAAACCCUUUCUAUGUUAUGCUAUAUUUCUAGAGUUAAACCAGGCCUGGGCAAACAUUCAAGUUGUGGGAGCUGGGAGGGAAGGCUGUGAGCAGAGGAAGCACCCAAAGUGAAGAACUGACAGGUGGAGCACUUUCCAGACAUUCUGGUUCAACAGUCAGAAGUGAGAACAUCUAUUUAUCUCUGAAGCAGU
rnacentral:lncRNA from 1 species